rnacentral:rRNA from 1 species
UGGGUGACGAGCGGCGGACGGGUGAGUAAUGUCUGGGAAACUGCCUGAUGGAGGGGGAUAACUACUGGAAACGGUAGCUAAUACCGCAUAACGUCGCAAGACCAAAGAGGGGGACCUUCGGGCCUCUUGCCAUCAGAUGUGCCCAGAUGGGAUUAGCUAGUAGGUGGGGUAAUGGCUCACCUAGGCGACGAUCCCUAGCUGGUCUGAGAGGAUGACCAGCCACACUGGAACUGAGACACGGUCCAGACUCCUACGGGAGGCAGCAGUGGGGAAUAUUGCACAAUGGGCGCAAGCCUGAUGCAGCCAUGCCGCGUGUGUGAAGAAGGCCUUCGGGUUGUAAAGCACUUUCAGCGAGGAGGAAGGUGGUGAACUUAAUACGUUCAUCAAUUGACGUUACUCGCAGAAGAAGCACCGGCUAACUCCGUGCCAGCAGCCGCGGUAAUACGGAGGGUGCAAGCGUUAAUCGGAAUUACUGGGCGUAAAGCGCACGCAGGCGGUUUGUUAAGUCAGAUGUGAAAUCCCCGGGCUCAACCUGGGAACUGCAUUUGAAACUGGCAAGCUAGAGUCUC